AAAGUUCCAGACGCACAGAAAGGGGGAAAAGCGAGACAGCUCCGGUCACUAGCGACGUUCCCGAGGGAAGGUGCCAAAAGUUUGCACAAAACUUUUCUCUCCUCUCUUUCAAAUACUAACAGGAUAAACAAUUGAUGUAUCUACUCGGUACAAUUGCUGGAAGCUGGCGAAAGUCCGACAGUCAACAGCCAUCGCUGAAACGACAGGUACUGAGACAGACAUCGACAAACUCCACGAAAUGGAAAAUGAACACAUAGGCCUGUGAGUAAAAUGAACCGGAUUCAUCAGGCUGGACCAAAACAACCCAUUGUUGCAUCUCCCUUGACAACAUCAAAUGUUCUGACUGAGCUCCAUUAAGUUUUACAGUGAGCUUGAAUAGCCCACUCUGUGAGAAAAAAAAUAUCCUGUGCAGUUGCUCACGACACUGUUGUUGACUAAGUCUCUGAAAACAGGUUGAAUAGAAAAUUGAAUGAAAGCAGCUGAAUACAUGUUGCUUACCAUGAAGGCUCUUGUUCAAUGAAAUACAAUUGGCUCUGCAGUCCACUCUGCAGUGUUUGGAGCCCUCCCACCAUUGUCAGAGACUCUAUGUGCGCCUCAAAUGGCACCAUAUUUGAUAUUUAGUUCACAACUUUUUUCCAGAGCCCAAUAAGAUUAGCAUGCCAUUUGGGACGCAUCCCUCUUUGUUCCUUUUUACUUGUUAGAGGGUGACAUUGACGUGACUCUGGGAGUGAGAGACAGGACUGAAGCGAUAGGCGAACACAGUGCUGCUAAUAACAGACAGACAGCCAUCAAGCCUUUUUUUCAAGCCUUAAUUCCUCUUGUCUACCCUGUAUUCUAAAGAGCUGUGAGGAAGAGAAGAAGCUGGAUCAGCACAAGCUGGCUGAUAGUCACUGUUGGAGUGCAGCUCUCAGCACAUCCUAUCCUCAGACUCAGAGAGAGGAAAAACUUGCAGGGGUCAAAAAGUGACUCGACAAAGC
rnacentral:lncRNA from 13 species